GCUGUGCACAGUGGUGUGUGGCUGUAGUUCCAGCUACUUGGGAGGCAUAGGCAGGAGGAUCACUUGAGUCUGGGAAUUCUGUGCUAUACUGCCCUAUGCCAAUCAGGUGUUCACACUAAGUUCACUAUCAAUAUGGUGACCGCUCAGGAGCAGAGAACCACCAACUUGAAGGAGAGGUGAAAGAGCCCAGGUUGGAAACAAAACAGGCCAAAACUCCUGUGAUGAUCAUUAGUGGGAUCACACCUGAGAAUAAUUACUGUACUCCAGCCUGGGCAACAGAGAGACUCCAUAU
rnacentral:SRP_RNA from 1 species